rnacentral:rRNA from 1 species
CCAAUAGCGUAUAUUAAAGUUGUUGCAGUUAAAAAGCUCGUAGUUGAAUUUCGGGGUCAGUAGGUCGGUCGUGCCACUGGUAUGCACUGGUCUCACUGAUUCCUCCUUCCUGAUGAACCGUAAUGCCAUUAAUUUGGUGUUGCGGGGAGACUGGACUGUUACUUUGAAAAAAUUAGAGUGUUUAAAGCAGGCUAACGCUUGAAUACAUUAGCAUGGAAUAACGGAAUAGGACGUUCGAUCUUAUUUUGUUGGUUUCUAAGAUUGACGUAAUGAUUAAAAGGGAUAGUUGGGGGGAUUAGUAUUCAAUUGUCAGAGGUGAAAUUCUUGGAUUUAUUGAAGACUAACUACUGCGAAAGCAUUUGCCAAGGAUGUUUUCAUUAAUCAAGAACGAAAGUUAGGGGAUCGAAGACGAUCAGAUACCGUCGUAGUCUUAACCAUAAACUAUGCCGACUAGGGAUCGGAUGAUGUUAAUUUUUUAAUGACUCAUUCGGCGCCUUACG